UACAGAGGUCCCAAGCGUUUGUUCGGAUUCAUUGGGCGUAAAGGGUGCGUAGGUGGCAGGGUAAGUUGGAUGUGAAAUCUCCGGGCUUAACCCGGAGCGGUCAAGUGAUACUGUCGUGCUAGAGUGCGGAAGGGGCUACUGGAAUUCUCGGUGUAGCGGUGAAAUGCGUAGAUAUCGAGAGGAACACCUGCGGCGAAGGCGGGUAGCUGGGCCGACACUGACGCUGAUGCGCGAAAGCCAGGGGAGCGAACGGG
rnacentral:rRNA from 1 species